rnacentral:rRNA from 1 species
ACGAACGCUGGCGGCGUGCCUAAUACAUGCAAGUCGAGCGGAUAGAAGGGAGCUUGCUCCCGGAUGUUAGCGGCGGACGGGUGAGUAACACGUGGGUAACCUGCCUGUAAGACUGGUUUAACUCCGGGAAACCGGAGCUAAUACCGGAUAGUUCCUUGAACCGCAUGGUUCAAGGAUGAAAGACGGUUUCGGCUGUCACUUACAGAUGGACCCGCGGCGCAUUAGCUAGUUGGUGAGGUAACGGCUCACCAAGGCGACGAUGCGUAGCCGACCUGAGAGGGUGAUCGGCCACACUGGGACUGAGACACGGCCCAGACUCCUACGGGAGGCAGCAGUAGGGAAUCUUCCGCAAUGGACGAAAGUCUGACGGAGCAACGCCGCGUGAGUAAUGAAGGUUUUCGGAUCGUAAAGCUCUGUUGUUAGGGAAGAAUAAGUGCAAGAGUAACUGCUUGCACCUUGACGGUACCUAACCAGAAAGCCACGGCUAACUACGUGCCAGCAGCCGCGGUAAUACGUAGGUGGCAAGCGUUGUCCGGAAUUAUUGGGCGUAAAGGGCUCGCAGGCGGUUUCUUAAGUCUGAUGUGAAAGCCCCCGGCUCAACCGGGGAGCGUCAUUGGAAACUGGGAAACUUGAGUGCAGAAGAGGAGAGUGGAAUUCCACGUGUAGCGGUGAAAUGCGUAGAGAUGUGGAGGAACACCAGUGGCGAAGGCGACUCUCUGGUCUGUAACUGACGCUGAGGAGCGAAAGCGUGGGGAGCGAACAGGAUUAGAUACCCUGGUAGUCCACGCCGUAAACGAUGAGUCCUAAGUGUUAGGGGGUUUCCGCCCCUUAGUGCUGCAGCUAACGCAUUAAGCACUCCGCCUGGGGAGUACGGUCGCAAGACUGAAACUCAAAGGGAAUUGACGGGGGCCCGCACAAGCGGUGGAGCAUGUGGUAUAAUUCGAAGCAACGCGAAGAACCUUACCAGGUCUUGACAUCCUCUGACAACCCUAGAGAUAGGGCUUUCCCUUCGGGGACAGAGUGACAGGUGGUGCAUGGUUGUCGUCAGCUCGUGUCGUGAGAUGUUGGGUUAAGUCCCGCAACGAGCGCAACCCUUGAUCUUAGUUGCCAGCAUUUAGUUGGGCACUCUAAGGUGACUGCCGGUGACAAACCGGAGGAAGGUGGGGAUGACGUCAAAUCAUCAUGCCCCUUAUGACCUGGGCUACACACGUGGUACAAUGGACAGAACAAAGGGCUGCGAGACCGCAAGGUUUAGCCAAUCCCACAAAUCUGUUCUCAGUUCGGAUCGCAGUCUGCAACUCGACUGCGUGAAGCUGGAAUCGCUAGUAAUCGCGGAUCAGCAUGCCGCGGUGAAUACGUUCCCGGGCCUUGUACACACCGCCCGUCACACCACGAGAGUUUGCAACACCCGAAGUCGGUGAGGUAACCUUUAUGGAGCACGCCGCCGA